rnacentral:rRNA from 1 species
CCUACGGGUGUCAGCAGUGGGGAAUAUUGCACAAUGGGGGAAACCCUGAUGCAGCGACGCCGCGUGAGUGAAGAAGUCUUUCUGUAUGUAAAGCUCUAUCAGCAGGGAAGAAAAUGACGGUACCUGAUUAAGCAGCCCCGGCUAACUCCGUGCCAGCCGCCGCGGUAAUACGUAGGGGGCAAGCGUUAUCCGGAUUUACUGGGUGUAAAGGGGGCGUAGACGGUUGGACAAGUCUGGAGUGAAAUGCCGGGGCUUAACCCCGGAACUGCUUUGGAAACUGUGGAACUAGAGUGCAGGAGGGGUAAGUGGAAUUCCUAGUGUAGCGGUGAAAUGCGUAGAUAUUAGGAGGAACACCAGUGGCGAAGGCGGCUUACUGGACUGUAACUGACGUUGAGGCUCGAAAGCGUGGGGAGCAAACAGGAUUAGAUACCCUGGUAGUC